rnacentral:lncRNA from 1 species
AAAAUAUAUUAUACCAUGAAAUCAUAGUUGAAAAUAUAUAUAUGAAUAUGUUUAUUUGUAUUGAUAUAUUAAAUUAUGAGUUAAAUGAAAAAAAUCAAAUUUCUCUCAAAUAUAUAUUUUUUCCUUUUCUAUUUUUACAUAAACAAAACAAAUAUAAAAUAAUAGGUCAGUUGGACAUUAAUAAUAAUUUAGUUAUUAAAUCAAAAAAAAAAGAAUCUGUUAAUAAGAAGAAAAUAUGUUUUUGCAAUGGUUAUAAUAAUUAUACAUAUGACAAAGAACUAAACUAUCAAACAAAUAAUAACAUAUCAAAUAUAAUAAAUGAAAACAAAAAAAUGUUGAAAGACGGAGUUGAGAAUGUAUUAUGUGGCAGUCCCGAUAGUUGUCUUGAUGCGAAUGUAAGUAUGGGUGAAUAUAAAGGCUAUUGUAUUAGUAAAAGACAGGAAGUGAAAAAUGAAACGAAAAAUGAAACGAAACGUGAAACACACGAUGUUGCUUAUACGGGUGAAGUCUGUAAACCCAAUUGUGAGACCAUCAAGUUGAAUCAUAAAAGUACCCAUUGUAACAACUUAAAACACAAACACAAAAAGCAAAAUAAAUACAAUAAAAAAUGUCCUUGUAGCAAAGAAAUGAACGGAUUUGAGUAUAAAAAAAAAAUUAAAAAUUUGUUUUUAAAAAUAUGUCGUAAAAAUAAUAAAAAAUAUAAUAUUUAUAAAAAAAUUGACUAUGAAUAUUUGAAAAAAAUAUAUAAUUAUUGUCACAGUUUUUGUUGUAAAGAAAAACAAAAAUAUAGAAAAGAAAUUGUAUUAUAUUUACACAGGUUAACUAAAAAAAUAUUAUUAAAAGUGUAUAAACGAGUUAAUAAUUAUUUAAAUAUUUCAAUUUUAUCAUUAAAUAUAUUAACUUAUAUAUUAUAUUUAAUACCUAGAAAAAUGUUUAUCCGUUCUUAUAUCCCUUGGCUAUUAAACAAAACAAUAAAUGUAAAACGUUGCUAUACAUAUUUAAAUAUUCCCUUGUGUAUUUUAAAUUAUAAUGGAUUUCUUUUUUUAGAAACUAUGUUAAAACUUAUAUUAAAAAUGAUAGAACAAAAAGUUACUUCAUUACAUACUUAUGUUUUAUCAUUCUUACGUUUGUGUUCUUUUCCUUUGUAUAUUUAUAUACAAUUUGAUAUAUUAUUAUCACACACACUUAUAGUUACUUCAUUAUAUGUACUACACCAGUUGGUUAUGUACGAUCCGAAUUUUUUGGCUACGGGUAAAACCAAAAUGAUUGAUCAUGACAGUAUUAGUGGUUCUAGUAGUGGUAAUAAUAGUAAUGACAAAAUAAGGACAAAUAACAAAAUAAAUCAACAAGUUUCUACUAAUAAUAUUCACAAUAAUGGUAAUGUGAUUAGUAUGGAUAAAUCAAGUGCGACUAAUAACAUAGGCAACCGGUUAAAAAGUGGUAUAGGAACAAAUAACAAUACAGAUAAUCGUUUGGAAAGCAGCACAAGUGGGGCGUGGGAUGCUUGUACAUAUGCAAUUGCUGGAACAGAAGACGACUCAAGAUGUACUAAUGAUAUGACCGAAUUGUCUGAUGAACGAAAAGAACUACUAGAAAAUAUAUUUUUAAAAACAAUUUUAUUAUUUUUAAAAAAAUCUAUUUAUUUUAAAACCAUGUUUCAUUGUGCUAACAUAAAUGAAAAAGAAGAAAUGGUAGUUGAUAAUAAAAGAAUACAAAUAGUUUUAAAAACAUGGAAUAUGGAUAAUGGAGAAAUAAAAAAAGAGAGGAAAAAAAAAAAUUAUUUUCAUAUGGAAAACAAAAUAUUAUAUUUACAUGAUAAUUUAUUAUUAUAUACUUCAGAUAAUUUAUUAAUAUCUAAUUGUUGCAGAGACAUAAAAAUAUGUCAAAAUAUAAAAAAACAAUAUAUAAACCAAAAUAUUAAUACAAAUAAUUUUUCUUAUGACUUUAUUCAUGUAGAAAAUAAUGAAAUGCAAAAAUUAAGUGUUUAUGCUCAUUUAAUAAUACCCAUAAUUAUGUUCUUAUCUUCCCAUCAUAUUUUAUGGCAGUCUUUAUUGCCCCACAUCCCCUUAUUGACUCAUAUGGCAUUCAUUAAAACAGACAUCAGUUCCUCCUUGUGGAUAAUAUUAAAAGAGUAUUACUUCAGAAAUUUUAUGAAAACAAAAAAAAGUUCAAAAAAACGUACAAAAUAUUUUUGUCAUAAAUUAGUAAAAGUUGAAAAGGUGAAGUGAUGACAAGAGAAAAAAAAAAAAUAUUACGGAAGCAUUUUUUUUUUUUUUUUUUUUUUUUUUUUGUGCACUUAUGGAUG